AUACCCGAAUGGGGAAACCCAGUGUGAUUCGUCACACUAUCAUUAACUGAAUCCAUAGGUUAAUGAGGCGAACCGGGGGAACUGAAACAUCUAAGUACCCCGAGGAAAAGAAAUCAACCGAGAUUCCCCCAGUAGCGGCGAGCGAACGGGGAGGAGCCCAGAGCCUGAAUCAGCAUGUGUGUUAGUGGAAGCGUCUGGAAAGGCGCGCGAUACAGGGUGACAGCCCCGUACACAAAAGCGCAUGUGUUGUGAGCUCGAUGAGUAGGGCGGGACACGUGGUAUCCUGUCUGAAUAUGGGGGGACCAUCCUCCAAGGCUAAAUACUCCUGACUGACCGAUAGUGAACCAGUACCGUGAGGGAAAGGCGAAAAGAACCCCGGCGAGGGGAGUGAAAAAGAACCUGAAACCGUGUACGUACAAGCAGUGGGAGCACAGGUUUACCUGUGUGACUGCGUACCUUUUGUAUAAUGGGUCAGCGACUUAUAUUCUGUAGCAAGGUUAACCGUAUAGGGGAGCCGGAGGGAAACCGAGUCUUAAUUGGGCGUUAAGUUGCAGGGUAUAGACCCGAAACCCGGUGAUCUAGCCAUGGGCAGGUUGAAGGUUGGGUAACACUAACUGGAGGACCGAACCGACUAAUGUUGAAAAAUUAGCGGAUGACCUGUGGCUGGGGGUGAAAGGCCAAUCAAACCGGGAGAUAGCUGGUUCUCCCCGAAAGCUAUUUAGGUAGCGCCUCGUGAAUUCAUCUCCGGGGGUAGAGCACUGUUUCGGCUAGGGGGCCAUCCCGGCUUACCAACCCGAUGCAAACUGCGAAUACCGGAGAAUGUUAUCACGGGAGACACACGGCGGGUGCUAACGUCCGUCGUGAAGAGGGAAACAACCCAGACCGCCAGCUAAGGUCCCAAAGUCAUGGUUAAGUGGGAAACGAUGUGGGAAGGCCCAGACAGCCAGGAUGUUGGCUUAGAAGCAGCCAUCAUUUAAAGAAAGCGUAAUAGCUCACUGGUCGAGUCGGCCUGCGCGGAAGAUGUAACGGGGCUAAACCAU
rnacentral:rRNA from 1 species